rnacentral:rRNA from 1 species
AUACGGAGGGUGCAAGCGUUAUCCGGAAUCAUUGGGUUUAAAGGGUCCGUAGGCGGACUAUUAAGUCAGAGGUGAAAUCCCACAGCUCAACUGUGGAACUGCCUUUGAUACUGGUAGUCUUGAGUUAUAAGGAAGUAGAUAGAAUGUGUAGUGUAGCGGUGAAAUGCAUAGAGAUUACACGGAAUACCGAUUGCGAAGGCAGUCUACUACUUAUAUACUGACGCUAAUGGACGAAAGCGUGGGGAGCGAACAGGAUUAGAAACCCUAGUAGUCC